rnacentral:rRNA from 1 species
AACGAACGCUGGCGGCGCGCCUAAUACAUGCAAGUCGAGCGAGAAGACGUAGCAAUACGUUUGUAAAGCGGCGAACGGGUGAGGAAUACAUGGGUAACCUACCCUCGAGUGGGGAAUAACUAGCCGAAAGGUUAGCUAAUACCGCGUACGCUCCUUGGACUUCGGUUCAGGGAGGAAAGCGAUACCGUGGGUAUCGCGCUCUUGGAUGGGCUCAUGUCCUAUCAGCUUGUUGGUGAGGUAACGGCUCACCAAGGCUUCGACGGGUAGCUGGUCUGAGAGGACGAUCAGCCACACUGGCACUGCGACACGGGCCAGACUCCUACGGGAGGCAGCAGUAAGGAAUAUUGCGCAAU